UGUCGCUUUAUUUUUUAAAGAGGAAAGUCCGAACAACAAAGAGCACCGCGCUUCCUAACGGGAAGGCAGGAGUUUUAAACACCUGACAGCUAGUGCCACAGAGAGGUAGACCGCCACUUUACAUCGAUCGAGUAAUGAGGUAAGGGUGAAAAGGUGGGGUAAGAGCCCACCAGUGAUUUGGGAAACUGAAUCAGCUAGGUAAACCUCGCGGGUUGAAAUGCCAUGUAUACCGAUUUUUAAGAGCUGCUCGCUCAAUGUCGGAGGGUAGGCAGAUAGAGUUUAUUGGCGACAAUAGGCCUAGAUCAAUGACAAGGACGCACUUUAGUGUGUACAGAAUUCGGCUUACACGGCU
rnacentral:RNase_P_RNA from 1 species